rnacentral:rRNA from 1 species
CAAUACAGGGCCAUCUUGGUCUUGUAAUUGGAAUGAGUACAAUUUACAUCUCUUCACGAGGAUCAAUUGGAGGGCAAGUCUGGUGCCAGCAGCCGCGGUAAUUCCAGCUCCAAUAGCGUAUAUUAAAGUUGUUGCAGUUAAAACGCUCGUAGUCGGAUUUCGGGGCGGGCCUGCCGGUCUGCCGAUCGGUACGCACUGGCGGGCGCGUCCUUCCUUCCGGAGACCGCGCCUCCUCUUAACUGAGCGGGCGUGGGAGACGGAUCGUUUACUUUGAAAAAAUCAGAGUGUUUCAAGCAGGCAGCUCGCUCUUGCAUGGAUUAGCAUGGGAUAAUGAAAUAGGACUCUGGUGCUAUUUUGUUGGUUUCGA